AGAGGCGACCUGCCCGGCGCCGAUUGGCAGCGGGCGGGUGACGUGCGCGCGCCCGGGGGAUUCCGAGGGGGCGCGGGCGGCCGCGGGGACUGACGGGUAGCGAGGCCUGCCUCGAAAUCUCGAUGCUGGAGAGGGCUCUUGCGGUGGGCCUUUUACGUCUGUAGACGCUGGAGGUCUGCAGAAAGGAUACUGUGUCGGAGGAGGUAAAGCACAAGUGAGUGCUUUGUAACCGGGAAGUGCCUUUCAAAAGAGCUUACUUUUGGUUUGGUGGAAGAAGGACCCUGGAGCUUGUUGAUGCUGAAAAUGUUCAUCUCAGACGUCCUUGUCCUUGAGCCUGUUCUGUUGGGGAGAUGGCUGAGAUAACUAUAAGACUACAUGUUUUGAGUGGGGCCCAGAGCAAACUGUCUUGCCAGUUGGGCCUUAUGAUUGGGCAGAUCCGAUGGUAUUGGAAGUUCAUGUGUUAGAGAUGUUAAAUGAAGCCUUGGCACCUCCUGAUUUGCUCCUGCUACCUGGUAGAGACGGAACACCUGAUCAUGGGACAUCAAGUGACCAUGUGAAUAAUAAAACCACCCAUCAUGAACUGGUGUUAUCUGAUUCACCGAACCAUACAACUGGAUGAGCACAGAAGCAGUCUACUCCCUAUGAGACUGGGACAUGGCUACAAUUAAACUAAAUGAGCAGGUGACUCAGACUCCUAUAGUCCCUGACUCUACUCUUUCAGCACUUCCCCCCAAACCCAUAUAAAUUGGCUUCAUGAGGAGUUCUUUCUGACCAAUUAAUGGAAGAGAAAAAAGCAUGGGUCCUGUUUGUUCAUGGAAGAAUCUGCAGUGAGCUGGCAAUAGCUGGAUGUGAGUGGUCACUACACACCACCACCACUCAUUAGUGGCCCUGACCCAGAAUAGUAAAGGGAAAUCCUCCCAUAGGGAAGAAUUUUAGGAGACAUGGCCUGAGGUAAGGGUAUACACUGGUUUGUUGUCAGCGGCUUAUGAGUUGACAAGCUAGACAAAAACUUGGAGAGAACAAAUUGGAAAGCUGGUUCCAUUUAUGAGGCCAGCUGGGAUACAAUAACCUGCAAAUUGGGGAUGCUGACCUAAAGAAUUAAGUAUAUGCUUAAAAUCAGUAAUCAGUAUCUGGUGCCACCUUUCCCAAAAUGUAUGCAGAGUGGAGAUGAGAGUAGUCCCUCUAUUUUCAGUAUGACUAAUUUUGUAAAAAAAAAAAACAAACAACUGGUGGCAUGUUUUCCAAACUUGGUGAAAAGCAUAAAACUACAAAUCCACAAAAGCUCAGUAAAUCACAAGCAGAAAAAUUGCAAUGAAAGUCACACCUAUGCAUGUUACAGUCAAACUGAUAAAACUAAUUCAGAAAAACACUUAAAAGCAUCCAGAGAAAUUAUACAUUAUACACAAGAUGGCAGUUAUAUGAAUUUUUUUAAAAGGAUGCAUAACAUAUAGAAAAAUGCACAAAUAUAAUUGUUCAGCAUGACUUGCCACAAAGUGAAGAUAACUAUGUAAUCACCACCCACAUCAAUAACUAUGUCCCUUAGUCAUUGCUCUUCUUCCUUCCCAAAGGUAAUCAUCAUCCUGAAUUCUAACACCAAAGAUUAGGUUUGACAGUGGUUAACCUUUAUAUAAAUUGAAUACAUGACAGUGGUUAACUUUUAUAUAAAUUGAAUAAUGUAUUCUU